rnacentral:rRNA from 1 species
GAUGAACGCUAGCUACAGGCUUAACACAUGCAAGUCGAGGGACCGGCGCACGGGAGAGAAACGCGUAACCAACCUACCCAAUACUCAGGCAUAACCCGUUGAAAGACGGACUAAUUCCUGAUGGUAGUGGAUGGGGAUGCGUCUGGUUAGUUUGUGGGUGAGGUACCGGCUCACCAAGACUUCGAUCAGUAGGGGUUCGGAGAGGAAGGCCCACCACAUUGGAACUGAGACACGGUCCAAACUCCGACGGGGGGCAGCAGUGAGGAAUAUUGGUCAAUGGAUGCUAAUCUGAACCAGCCAAGUAGCGUGCAGGAGGACGGCCUUUGGGUUGUAAACUGCUUUUAUGUGAGAAUAUUUAUCACAUGAAUAAGGACCGGCUAAUUCCGUGCCAGCCGCCGCGGUAAUUC